UACGGUGGAUGCCUAGGCGCCAGGAGCCGAAGAAGGACGCGGUAAGCUGCGAAAAGCCACGGGGAACUGCAAGCGAGUAUUGAUCCGUGGAUAUCCGAAUGGGGAAACCCGGCCAUCGUAAUGGAUGGUCAUCCGCAAGGAAGGGAACCCGGGGAACUGAAACAUCUAAGUACCCGGAGGAAAAGAAAUCAAACGAGAUGCCCACAGUAGCGGCGAGCGAAGAGGGCAGAGCCCAAACCUGUAAGCUACGGCUUAUGGGGGUUGAGGACUGACGUAAUUAAGGCCAGGCUUAGCUGAACUACCUGGGAAGGUAGGCUAGAUAAGGUAAGAGCCCUGUAAGCGAAAGGCAGAGCCUUAAGGUCAGUAUCCAGAGUACCACGGAGCACGAGGAAUUCUGUGGGAAGCAGGGGGGACCACCCUCCAAGGCUAAAGACUAACUGGCGACCGAUAGCGCAUAGUACCGUGAGGGAAAGGUGAAAAGAACCCCGGGAGGGGAGUGAAAUAGUACCUGAAACCGUAUGUCUACAAGCAGUCGGAGCGAAAGCGACGGCGUGCCUAUUGAAGAAUGAACCAACGAGUUAUCUGCACUAGCGAGGUUAAGUGGAAGACACGGAGCCGUAGCGAAAGCGAGUCUGAAAAGGGCGGAUAGUUAGUGUAGGUAGACCCGAAACCGCAGUGAUCUACCCAUGUCCAGGUUGAAGCGCAGGUAAAAAUGCGUGGAGGACCGAACCGGUGAGCGUUGAAAAGCUUUCGGAUGAGAUGUGGGUAGGGGUGAAAUUCCAAUCGAACGCGGAGAUAGCUGGUUCUCCCCGAAAUAGCUUUAGGGCUAGCCUCAGGUAGUAAGUAUAGGCGGUAGAGCACUGAUCGGGCUAGGGGCCAUAAAGGUUACCGAACCCUGUCAAACUCCGAAUGGAUAUACUGCAGAGCCUGGGAGUCAGACUACGAGUGAUAAGAUCCGUGGUCAAAAGGGAAACAGCCCAGACCACCGGCUAAGGUCCCAAAUGCCGUACUAAGUGGAAAAGGAUGUGGGGAUUCAUAAACAACCAGGAUGUUGGCUCAGAAGCAGCCACCAUUUAAAGAGUGCGUAAUAGCUCACUGGUCGAGAGUCCCUGCGCCGAAAAUUUCCGGGGCUAAAGUACGGAACCGAAGCCGUGGCUGUGCAUGUAAGUGCACGGGGUAGGGGAGCGUUGCCACAGGGGUGAAGCUGGUCUGGAAGGACUGGUGGACUUGUGGGAAGUGAGAAUGUUGGUAUGAGUAGCGAAAAGAAAGGUGAGAAUCCUUUCCACCGAAAGCAUAAGGAUUCCUGAGCAACGAUCGUCGUCUCAGGGUAAGUCGGGACCUAAUCCGAGGCAAAGAGCGUAGGAGAUGGACAACAGGUUGAUAUUCCUGUACCGGCAGCAAUUGUUUGAGCGAAGGAGUGACACAGAAGGGCAGGCAGGCGCGAGACUGGAUUGUCGCGUGCAAGCGUGUAGGGUAGUGUACAGGCAAAUCCGUACACUGAAAGCCUGAGGCGUUACGCGGAGCGAGCAGAGAUGCGAGCGAAGCUGCUGAUCCCACACUGUCGAGAAAAGCUUCUAGUGAGAGAGCUGCCGCCCGUACCGUAAACCGACACAGGUAUGCGGGGAGAGAAUCCUAAGGUGCGCGGGAGAACCCUCGUUAAGGAACUCGGCAAAAUGUACCCGUAACUUCGGGAUAAGGGUAGCCGUCUUGGUGAAGGAACUUGCUUCUGGAGCUAAAGGCGGUCGCAGAGAAGAGGCCCAAGCGACUGUUUACCACAAACACAGGUGCCUGCUAAAGCGAAAGCUGACGUAUAGGUGCUGACACCUGCCCAGUGCUGGAAGGUUAAGGAAGGAUGUCCGGGCAACCAAAGCAUUCGACCGAAGCCCCAGUGAACGGCGGCCGUAACAAUAACGGUCCUAAGGUAGCGAAAUUCCUUGUCGGGUAAGUUCCGACCCGCACGAAAGGUGUAACGAUUUGGGCACUGUCUCAACGAGGGACCCGGUGAAAUUGAAAUACCUGUGAAGAUGCAGGUUACCCGCGACUGGACAGAAAGACCCCAUGGAGCUUUACUGUAACCUGACAUUGGGUUUUGUUGUAUUACGUACAGGAUAGGUGGGAGGCUUGGAAGGCUGGACGCUAGUCUGGCUGGAGCCGGCGUUGGGAUACCACCCUUGAUACAACGGAAUUCUAACCGAGAGAGUAACGAAAUCCGGGACAGUGUCAGGCGGGCAGUUUGACUGGGGCGGUCGCCUCCGAAAGAGUAACGGAGGCGCCCAAAGGU
rnacentral:rRNA from 1 species